rnacentral:rRNA from 1 species
UACGGAAGGUGCAAGCGUUGUUCGGAUUGACUGGGCGUAAAGAGCACGUAGGCGGGUUUGUAAGUCGAUUGUGAAAGCCCCGGGCUUAACCUGGGAACGGCAAUCGAAACUGCGAAUCUUGAAUACCUGAGGGGUUAGUGGAAUUCCUGGUGUAGGAGUGAAAUCCGUAGAUAUCAGGAGGAACACCGGCGGCGAAGGCGGCUAACUGGCAGGAUAUUGACGCUGAGGUGCGAAAGCGCGGGGAGCAAACAGG